AUUACUGCCCUGGUAGCGGGAGGGUUGUCUGAGAUUCAGGAGGAGAUCAGCAAGUUGAGGGUACAUUUCACCAUCAGAGCAGGACAGACGGCCCUGAUGCUGGCAGUCAGCCACGGGCGGGUGGACGUUGUCAAAGCCCUGCUGGCCUGUGAGGCAGACGUCAACGUGCAAGAUGAUGACGGCUCCACGGCCCUCAUGUGCGCCUGUGAGCACGGCCACAAGGAGAUCGCGGGGCUGCUGCUGGCCGUGCCCAGCUGUGACAUCUCACUCACAGAUCGCGAUGGGAGCACAGCUCUGAUGGUGGCCUUGGACGCAGGGCAGAGUGAGAUUGCGUCCAUGCUAUAUUCCCGCAUGAACAUCAAGUGCUCGUUUGCCCCAAUGUCAGAUGACGAGAGCCCUACAUCAUCCUCGGCAGAAGAGUAGCCGUGAGGGAGGCAGGGGCCAGCCAGACCGGGAGCAAACCGUCCCUUGUCCCGUCUCCUCCCUGUUCCUGUUCCUCCCUGGCCCACCCCACUCACACUCCCCAAGGCCCACAGCUCAAAGGCAAGCGAGCUCUCCCUCUGCUUCCCUGGGGGAGCCCCGACGGCCACAGGACUCCAGCUCCAAGCGGGUUUUAUUGGCUCCCUGGUUCAAAGUGGCCACAGCGCAGACCAAAGCAAAAUUCUUGUAUA
rnacentral:sRNA from 1 species